CCCGGUUUUUCCCCCACCCCAGGCGCAAGGUUUUUCUCCCACCCGGCGAACCCCCCCGUUCCAGCGGUUCUUCUCCACCUCGCAGAUCCGGCGCGGCUCGCGAUUCCAUCGCCGCCCGCCCGCGCCGCGCGAUUCCGUGCGCCACCGGCGUCCGCGCCGCGCCGGCGAGCUGCAGCUUCUGCUCCUGCGCGCCCCAAGAUCAGACCAGUACCUGCCGUCGCCAUUGCCGUCCACCGCUGAUCGAAGUCGCGCGAGACCCAAUCCCUAACCCGCGGGAUCUCAUCCAUCAUCUCGCCGUCGUGCGUUCCGAGCUCGGCGUGGUCGCUCCACAGGAGCUUCCUCGAUGGAGUCCGAUUUGGGCGGAUCAGGCACGGCACGGCGGCCCCCUUUGAUCCGGCUGCACGCGAUGUGCAGCAGCGGCUGAAGCAUCCCCAGGCCCCUGUCCAGCAAUCUUCUCUUCGGGAUGGAUGAGGUCUGAUUCUUCCCCCCAGCGCAAGGUGCCCUUUGCCCUUUUCCCGUGAUAAGUUUGGGAUUCUCAUUGAUGGCGGAUCGAUCCUGAUGAGUGGUCACCCAUCCCUGGCCGACGAGCUGGUGGCAUGGCUGACAAGCUGGUGGCCUUGAGCAGUUGCACGACGACACGCAACAACAUCGAAAUGCCGAAUCAAGCAUUCAGCAAAGAGGACAAGUGCUGCGGCCCCUGCCCUCAGGUGCCUUGCCCCUUUGUGCUUUCUUCUAUUAUCAACUGGUGCAUUAUAUUCUUUUUGUGAAACUCCACUGGUGCAUGUGUUCAGGAGGGGAUUUUUUUGUUUGCUAAUUAAUCACCAAGUCCAAUAUACGUGGAUAGUUGUAGAUAACAUCUCUUGGCAGAGUUAUGAUUACUAGAUUAGCUAGAAAUUAUUUGGCAGAUUUUAUUGAAUUAGAUUGAUAGUUCAGUUUAUUUUUAGCAGAAGAUUGGCAAAUUAUUGCAGCGUCAGUGUGCUUGUGAGCUGGUACCUGCUAGCCUGCUACUGCCUGUGUGGUUCUGGCCACUGCAUUCAGUACGCUAGUACAGGCUUGGUGAUCAAGACUAGGUGUUAUGUGCUUUUGAAAUAUACAUAAUGUCACAUGGAUUGUGAUUUUUGAUUGGCCAUAUGACUUUUAUGAGUUAUCCGCUUAAUUAUUUAGUUUAGUAUAACUGGUUUAUAUAAUACCCUGCCCGCGCCUGGACAGAGCAUGCACCUGUUUUUCGUGGUUCUAUUGUGGAUCUGUGCAACUAAUGAUGCAUGAUUAGCUUUAUGUUUUGGUGGAUUGAUCAGAUACAUAAUUUAUCAGAAAUAUUCAACUUUUGUCAGUCAUUGAGAUAUAAAAGCUGCCUUGCCAUGGCCAUUUUAGUUCAGUCAAAAUAAUUUGGUCCAUUGCCUUCCGGAUCUAGAAUUAUAGACUGCUCUUAGUUCACAGGCUACAAAUGAAGAUUAAAACUGUUAUUUUGGAUGAAUUAAAAUCACACUAGUAAUGAAGAUGGUGUUCUGUAAUGUAAGGUUCUUUUGCCAUACAGACAUACUUUCUCCUAUUUUUGUGUUACUGCAGACCAUUUAAUUUCCGUUGGUUGAUUUACCUCCGAGGUUCUGAUGAUUUGUCCAGGUUGUAGUUCAAAUUAGGUAGUAGGUUGUUGCAAUUGGUAGCUGCAUCAUUCUUUUCCCUGUUUCAUUAUUUUAUAGUAGUUCAGUUUCUUGAUGAUUUGUUCAGGUUGUAGUUCAAAGAGGUGCCCCCCUUUUUUCUUACCUUCAUUCGAUCCCCCAGAUGUUUCUUGAUUGCCUGUGUUGGUGGCGAUGGUGUGUAAUAAUAAUCACUAGGUUGGAGAAUUUUGGUGCUACGUGAAGAGUUUGAUUGGUUUGAUUGCCUGGUAUGAGUUAAUAUAUUUGGAUCAAUAUACUUUCUUAAUUAUGCUUGUUUAUGUAUUCUGGAAUUUCGGUAUCCAAUUAUGCAUGCCACUUUGCUUGCUGCAAGACCAUUUAUAUAUUGCUGAGAUGCUUAUCUUUGAAUAUGGACAUCAUUAUAUCUUUUGUCAAUCUGAUGCACACCUCAUUAUUGCAAUUUGCUGCCAUAUCUUGUCAAUUUGAUGACACAGUCCAACAUUUUGACCAUGCACUAGUGUCCAGCCCACUGCCUUAUCUAUGUUUGUGUAAACCCUGGCAUUCAAGGUAUGCAUGAAGCCUUAUCAGCCAUCACACUAUUUUUGGUUGGUAAUUUGGUGUGUUCUGUAUCUCUGGGUUACUAUGAGAAGGAUUUUUUUCUCUCAAAAUGCACCCCUGUAUCCAUGAAAGCAAAGAAUUCGAACCUAUAGCUGCUUGUGGCUUCCAAUGCCAAUUUGGGAUGCUUGCUUCUUCGCAUCUUCAGUCUCAUUUCAGGAUUAUUGCUAGUGGGGUGUCUAUACCUUAAUUGAUAUAUACAAGUUCUUUAUUAAUUAAUUAGCUUAACCAUCGUGUCAAUUGUGAACAUUUUUUCCUUGCACUUCCCCUGCUGAUUUGGACUGAAUAAUUUGUUGACAAAUUCAUAACUCUGCAGCCAGUUCGUGCACCUGAGUAUAUCUGUCUGAGGUUUGUUGCAGCACAAUUCCAAUCUACUUAAUAAUAGUUUUGCUCUUAUGCAAUCUGUAUAGGCUGUCUUUAACCUGCAUAUACUAAUAAUUCUUAGCUCUUAUGCAGAUUGCAAUAUGCAUGCUGGAUACCUUCACAUGAGAUGGUUGAUUGGCUAGAUAGUUUCUGAUUUCCUUUUUGUUUAUUGUUCUGCCAUAUUGUAAAAACAGGGUCAAUAAAAUAGCAAAAUGCAUUGAGUUUUUAUGAACUCUUAUCGCGUGCUCGGUUUAAAUAUGGUUGAAUGUAAAUGCAAAGUGUUCUCAGUUUUGUGAUAAGAGAACUUACUGCUACUUUGCAUAGAAUUGAAGUUUUUAUGAUUGCAUAUGCUUCA